rnacentral:rRNA from 1 species
GACGAACGCUGGCGGCGUGCUUAACACAUGCAAGUCGAACGGCAAGGCCCUGCUUUUGUGGGGUGCUCGAGUGGCGAACGGGUGAGUAACACGUGAGUAACCUGCCCUUGACUUUGGGAUAACUUCAGGAAACUGGGGCUAAUACCGGAUAGGAGCUCCUGCUGCAUGGUGGGGGUUGGAAAGUUUCGGCGGUUGGGGAUGGACUCGCGGCUUAUCAGCUUGUUGGUGGGGUAGUGGCUUACCAAGGCUUUGACGGGUAGCCGGCCUGUGAGGGUGACCGGCCACAUUGGGACUGAGAUACGGCCCAGACUCCUACGGGAGGCAGCAGUGGGGAAUAUUGCACAAUGGGCGGAAGCCUGAUGCAGCAACGCCGCGUGCGGGAUGACGGCCUUCGGGUUGUAAACCGCUUUCGCCUGUGACGAAGCGUGAGUGACGGUAAUGGGUAAAGAAGCACCGGCUAACUACGUG